ACUUCCUACGGGAGGCAGCAGUGAGGAAUAUUGGUCAAUGGCCGAGAGGCUGAACCAGCCAAGUCGCGUGAGGGAAGACGGCCCUACGGGUUGUAAACCUCUUUUGUCGGGGAGCAAAGAGAGUCACGUGUGACUCAUUGAGAGUACCCGAAGAAAAAGCAUCGGCUAACUCCGUGCCAGCAGCCGCGGUAAUACGGAGGAUGCGAGCGUUAUCCGGAUUUAUUGGGUUUAAAGGGUGCGCAGGCGGAGGUGCAAGUCAGCGGUCAAAUUGCGGGGCUCAACCCCGGCCUGCCGUCGGAACUGGG
rnacentral:rRNA from 1 species